GAGGGAAGAACCCUGGCUCAGUUCCCUGUUGGGCACAGGGAGCAGUUUCCCUCCAUCUGUUAGGAGCUUCUGAUUAGAUGAGUUCUCUGCAAUGCCACUCUGGAAACUGUUGCAGCUCGUCUCUCCUCUGGCAAAAAUCCACCGCUCCACUGUCCCCCCAUAUCGUGGUCAGCUGCAGUAAAGCUGCUGAAGGACCCUCUGAUUCACAUUUCAAGAUACAACUGCAAUCAAGCCAGCUCAAGGCUUUUCAGCGCUCCAGGCAAAGUCACCUUUGUCACAUGAAGAGUAAGGGGCACCAGCCAUGUGAAGCAGUUCCUGUUCUGAGUAAGGACAACUCAGAAGAGGGCAUGGGGCUUGGACGGUGAGGUGGAGUUUUUGUUCCUAUCACCUCCAGUGAUUAGAGCAUGACUGCCUACCCCAGUCAGCAUCCCCACCCUGCCCAUCACAGCACAGAGGCAGCUGGAGCAACACCCUCCUCAAAGGUGGCAGCUGAGACUAUGGACAACCACUUGCCCCUUCCCUGCACACACUCACACCCAACCAGCCUGGCCUGCCUGUGACAGCAGUUACAACAAAGAACGAGCCUCUCACUGUCAUCCCCAAACCUGCCUCUAGCGAGGAAUGGCUGCAGCCCUUCCUAAUGGUGAACCUGCACUGAAACACAAUUUGAACAUUCAUAAUCUCCUAUAUCGGCUUCUCAUACCAUUAAUGCCACCAGUGAGGUGACCUUUCAGCAAAGUGUCAGGUACUAGCAGCAGGCUCAGGAUUGCAAACUUUAAUUAAAAACUGUAUUUUAAAAUAAAACUCAGUUUAGAUGCACCGAUAAGUGAUUUUUCACUACGUGAAAUUUCAUAGGGCUUUACUGAGGAAAAAAAAAAUCAUUGCAAGCUUCCUAUUAAUUUCUGGCUAGCUGGGUUUCAAGGACAAUUUUAUUAAAAGUGAGCAGAGCUUUCCAUAAUAAAACCUUUGCAGUUGUUAUGACCACCUGUGCUACCUCCCACCUCGAUCCACCACGUGACAUAGCAAAGCUAAUUUUCCCACUUCCUAGCAAGGAAAUUGAGCUGUUACAAUUUCAGACGAUAGUGCUUACAUACACAUAUUCUAGACUUCAUUAUUUUUCUGUGUGGCAAGGCUGGAGCUGGCAGAGGUUGUGUCUAAACAGCUUUAAGAGCUCUUUCUCUAUGCAGCAGGGUAUAAAAGUUUAGAUAAAAUCAUUAAAGUUUCUGAAUGGAUAUGAAAGCAAGAAAAAAUAGGGAAAUAAAACUGGGUUCCUGGUUGAAGUGCAGAGCUCUGUACGGAAAAGGUCUCAAAGGAGACAAUCUUAAUGGAUUACUGUUAAUAAACAUUACAGUUUAUUAAACAGUUUAUAAAACAAACAACAGGGUGGCACUCAUCUGAACUGAAACACAAACAGGGAAAUGAUGACUCUUGAGGCUUACUCACCACAGAUAAAUUGCUUCCUGCUCUCUCCUCAGCCCUAGGUCUAGGUUUUAUGAAAACACUAAUUGCUCCCCACUGUCACUCUCAGCCACCAGUGACUCAGUGAAAAAGAAAAAAAUCAAAUAACAAAAAACCCCAUACACCUGCUUGAUGGGGUCCCUGUGGAUCAGCCUUUUUUUGGUUGUGCCCAUCUCUUUUUAAUUUCACAGGGUAAAACCCAUCAGUCUCAGCCACAAAGAAAGGGCAGGAGAAUUCACUUUAGGGAGAAACUUGGCAAGCUGAGAAAUGGAAGGUAAGGGAGGAGAUUAUAAUUUAUGCAUAGGGGUAGUUUACAUGCUGUCUCCUCUCCAUGGUGAGAAUGUAGCAAGCUGUCUAAUUGGAGCCUGGUUUUUGGCUCCACUUAAAUUCCUCAGAAAACAUUGCACUCUACAGUCUGCAUAGUUAGAUUUUGUAGCUUUUGGCCACAGCAGAAGCCUAAUAAAAAAUACAGGGAUGAAGAGAGCAAGCUAUUUCAGGCAAAACAUUCGGGAGCAAUGCAAAGAGGUCACAACUGGUGAGAAUCUGCACAAAAUUGGAUUAGGCACAGAUGAAGUAUCCGAUCAUCUUUCUGCCCAAAUUCAUAAAUAUAUUAGCACACACAACCAUCAGUGUCACAUCUUGUGUUUAUAUCCAGCAACUGCCCUCUUCACUGGUCUCUGACAAUUCUGAUCAAUUGUUACUGCCCUUCAAAAGAAAUUUUGGUUUCAAUUUCAAACCCUACUCCGGGUGUUUCCAGUAGAUAUGUGUUAAAAAAGGUGCAGUGACACUCUGGCAGGGGAUUGGAUGGAGAUCCUUCUUGCAUUUGCUCAGAGCCUGUGCAAUACCUACAAAUGAACACCUCAUUACCUAAAUACUUGCAGUUCAAUAGGUUAUUGAGGUUUGAAAAAAAAAGACCUUAAAAAUUUAAUUCCCACUAUGCAAAAACUAAUGUUAAACCAGCAACAAUAUCUGCUAAUUCAGUCAAAUAAAGUGGAUACCCAUCCACUACAUUAUGUAGUUUUGAGAAUCAGAUCCUAAAGAUGCAAGUCUGGAAGCCCUAAAAGUUUCAUAGCUGACAUUCAGGGGAGCGAAUUUAUUGAGUGAGGACAACACAUCACCGGGCAGGGAAAAGGAAACACUGAUCUUGAGUGUUAACAUGAGCUGUGUCACUGUGGGCACCAGCCCCAGCUUCAUGACCUCCUGUGCCUCGGUGUUCCUGCAGCCAAUAAAUAAGAAGAAUUUAAGUAACGUAUAGACUAGAGGAAAUCUGUAUAUUUUGGUAAAAUGCAGUUAGGUAUAUGAUAUUUCAACUUCAGAUGGAUGUUUUAGCAAAUUGGUGUGAGUUACCACUUUUGAGUGAAGCUAGAAAGUGCAACUAAUAAUGAGAUUUAAGGAAAGACAACUUAAAGAAAAUGCAGAAGGGCAAAGCCGCAGCUUUGGAAGCAUCCUCUCUCUGAAACUGUUUACUGAAGUCACGACCUUUAUUAACUGCAUUCCUUUCCUCCUAAAAGACAAAAUUCACCUAUAAAUUAUUUGGAAAGGCCAGGUUCUCCACAUUAAUUUACUGAGGCUUUCAUCCUUCUGCACAGCAGUGUAUUUUUAAUACUGCUCAAAAGGUAUCAAGUACCUUCUUUCCAACCUAUUCACCAGCUCUAAAUGGGAUUUGACAUUACGAGGUCAGCUUUGCUUUGCCUCUUAGAUGACUAACAAAUUCGCAGAGACAGAGGUUCACUGUUCUCACAUGGAUCAAUGUUCAACAGACCACUGGGUUUGAUGGCAAACAUUUAACUUUCAGCCAUUAAGUAGAAAAGGAAAUGCAGGUUGUAACAAAUUACCUGGCAUCUAAACAAUGUUAAAGUUGUCCAUUAGGAGUGCCCGUAGACAGUGCAACAGCACAUUAGUUUUAAAUUGCAAAGUUCAGUCAGUGGAGUGAUAGAGUUCAGAUCUGAAGCGUUUUACCAAGCUAUUGAAAGGCCUGUACAGUGAAAUGUAUUUAAAGUGAACAAGAGUAGAAUGGAAAUACGUUUGGAUAGUCAGAAGAAUAUUGCAAUCCCCCUUGUCCUCCCCAUCCCCUGCAAAAGCAAACAAAAACACUGAAAAGCACUGUAAACUAUAAUGGUAGUUAUAACAAAUUUUUCUAUAAAAUUGUUACAUUAAAUUGAUUUCACUGUGUUUAAAUUACCUGUGCAUCAUGAAUAAAAUAUAUUUUUACCA